rnacentral:rRNA from 1 species
GUUUGAUCCUGGCUCAGGAUGAACGCUGGCGGCGUGCCUAACACAUGCAAGUUGAGCGAUUUACUUCGGUAAAGAGCGGCGGACGGGUGAGUAACGCGUGGGUAACCUACCCUGUACACACGGAUAACAUACCGAAAGGGAUGCUAAUACGGGAUAAUAUAUUUGAGAGGCAUCUCUUGAAUAUCAAAGGUGAGCCAGUACAGGAUGGACCCGCGUCUGAUUAGCUAGUUGGUAAGGUAACGGCUUACCAAGGCGACGAUCAGUAGCCGACCUGAGAGGGUGAUCGGCCACAUU